AAGAAGAGGCUCGAACCAGAGAUGACGGCAUGUGAUAGGGGCCCCCACCCUGCACAUCAUGCCCAUUCCAUCCGACCUAAUCUCCCUCAUCCAAUCCUAAGGCUCGCUAGAACCAACCCGCUCUCAGCCAACUACCAAUGACCACAGACUCCAGAGAUGGGAUAAGCAAUCCAAGAUACUAAAACUCCAAUCAAACCCAGAGUAACAAGCAUAGAACCCACUUCAAAAGAAUAGCUACUAUAGAGGGACGAGGCACUGAGAAGAGGCUCGAACUGGAGAUGAUGGCAUCUAACAAGGUUACCCUCCCAAGUACCAUGCACACCACGCCCAUUCCAUCCAGACUACUACACCCUCAACCUAAUACCCUAGGCUCACUAAAAUCUAAAAGCGGGACAGACAAGGGCCUCAAAUCUUUCCGCCAUUAACAGUGCAAGAUCACCGAAUCAUAGGCUCAACCACUAACAGUGCUUAACCACCGAAUCAUCUGGCAC